GACGAACGCUGGCGGCGCGCCUAACACAUGCAAGUUGAACGAGCGAGAGAGAGCUUGCUUUCUCGAGCGAGUGGCGAACGGGUGGGUAACGCGUGAGGAACCUGCCUCAAAGAGGGGGACAACAGUUGGAAACGACUGCUAAUUCCGCAUAAGCCCCCGGCUUGGCAUCGAGCAGGGGGAAAAGGAGUGAUUCGCUUUGAGAUGGCCUCGCGUCCGAUUAGCUAGUUGGUGAGGUAACGGCCCCCCAAGGCGACGAUCGGUAGCCGGACUGAGAGGUUGAACGGCCCCCUUGGGACUGAGACCCGGCCCCGACUCCUUCGGGAGGCAGCCGUGGGGAAUAUUGCCCAAUGGGGGAAACCCUGAUGCAGCGACGCCGCGUGAAGGAAGAAGUAUCUCGGUAUGUAAACUUUUAUCAGCCGGGAAGAAAAUGACGGUACCUGACUAAGAAGCCCCGGCUAACUACGUG
rnacentral:rRNA from 1 species